rnacentral:misc_RNA from 1 species
GAUGAAGAACGCAAGCAAAAUGCGAUAAGUAAUGUGAAUUGCAGAAUUCAGUGAAUCAUCGAAUCUUUGAACGCACAUUGCGCCCGCUGGUAUUCCGGCGGGCAUGCCUGUUCGAGCGUCAUUUCAACCCUCAAGCCCCCGGGUUUGGUGUUGGGGAUCGGCUCUGCCCUUCUGGGCGGUGCCGCCCCCGAAAUACAUUGGCGGUCUCGCUGCAGCCUCCAUUGCGUAGUAGCUAACACCUCGCAACUGGAACGCGGCGCGGCCAUGCCGUAAAACCCCAACUUCUGAAUGUUGACCUCGGAUCAGGUAGGAAUACCCGCUGAACUUAAGCAUAUCAAUAAGCGGAGGA